rnacentral:lncRNA from 1 species
CCCCGGGCGGCGCGGGCGGGCCGGGUGCGGAGAGGAGGGAUGCGCGCCCGCCUCCCGCUCGGGUCUGCGUGUGCCACUGCCAGCGUUAGGGACCCCUGGCCCGAGUAAGGCUUCCGGAGCCUGGCUGAGCCCGGACAGACGCAGCCUGACGCUUUAAUAGGUUGCAGAGAGUGCAAAGGAGGGGAGGCCGGGGAAAGAGGGGGAGUGGCCCAGCGAGGCCGGUAGCUGCAAGGAGGUGGCGAAGGACCCUCCUUCUCUGGGGUCCUAGCUCCGCGGAGCUGGGAGCCUGGCUCGCUUUAACCCUUUGCAUUCCAAGUGAGAAGCGGGCUUCUCACUUAGAAGUAAAACGCGGUGGGCUCUUCCAGGGUUUUCCUCCUUACAUAGAGCCUAAGGGAAAAAAGAAGGGAAGGGAUGGGAAGGUAGAGGGGAUGGGAGAGGCUGUGCGACAUGGAUUUUCCCUACACUGCAGAAAUUCUUGUUUCCUAACUCCGGAGCCCCUCUGCGCCUCCGGAAGAUGCAGAGUGGAAAAGUACAUCCCGGGACGUGCAGGCUUUCCCAGGCAGAGAGGUUACCUGUGUUCCCAGAAAGGCAGCGGAUUUCUGGAGAGCGCCACAGGGAUGGGAAAAGACAGAGCUAUAUUGCUAAGCCUGACAGUGAUCUGAAAUAUCCCCUGAUUUUCAGUCUGUUGGAAAUUUUCAGACCUCAAACUUGGCUGUCAAAAACUGACUUAAAAAUUUAACACUUAUGUGGAUAAUUUCUCCUUUCUCCCUGGCCUAUUCGAGGACCCUCCUCCUUCACCAAAACGCGCCCAUGUAACGUACCUUGUUCAGCUCUUGGUCAUAAAGUUGUCCUCAGCCUGUCUGUGUGGUCCCGGAGGGUCGGUGGCGGGCAGUUUCCAAAAUUGAGUCCCCCCUCCCCGGAUACCGGAAAGUCUCUUCUCUUUUUCGUAUCAAAAAAAGCCCGGUGAAGACUCUGCAGAACCCAGGAAGCGCAGAAUCGGGAGAAAGUCUUUGGCUGGGGCUGGUUCAAGACCCUGCUUCAAUGGGCUGCUGGAAGCCAGGACUGGGUAAUUCUUUCCAGACGUCUUGACUUCUCCUUGCUCGCUGUUGUUGCCUUUCUGCCUCCUCCAACUUAAGGGGGUCUUAACAAGGUUCCUCUGAGGUUGGACUUCUUUCGCGCUCGAUAGGCCUUGAAAACUGGGUUCCUGCUCCUUAUUACAUAUCUGGGACAAUAAUGAACAGGUCAAAACAGAAAAGUCGAGUAAACUGGGAGCGAUGCUUUUCAACACGUCGCGCAGGGUGUAGUGUUGGGGGAUGUGAUUUGAGGGCAAGAAUUUUAUUGCAAUACUAGGUAGUCAGCCAGCCCGGUCCCCGGGGGCCGACCUGCAAAGUACUACGCGUUUCCGCCCCCCGACCCCCCCACAGCGGUUACACCUCUGGGAAGCAUUACCUUGCCUGAUGACUUCACACUGCUCGGGGAAACCCACUUACUAAUUCUCCCCUACAAACCUUCAGGGCUUCAGCCUUUGUUUGAACCCUGCCUUAGGUGGUUCAACUCUUGAGAAACUGGCUUAAGUUUCAGAGCACAAUUUCAUCCACUUAAUCAGACUCCUGCUUCUUGAUUUUUAGUUGUACGGUAGUUUUUAAAUGCUAACCUGUAAUUUAAAAUAUAUUGUCUAACUGAUGUACUCUUACAUAUAAUGUGGAUUAAACUGAUUUAGGGGGAGGGUGGACAUCAUGGAGUGUCAAGUGUCUGGCUGUGGGACCCCACAGGGGCACUUAACAUCCACUCUAAACUUCCAUGAAUAUUAUAUGUAAUGCAGGCUUGCUGAUUAUUGCUUAGUAGUGCUUAACUGUUCCUGUGCUAAUGGUUCAAGCAGUGAAAACAUUUAGUAAAACUGUGUUUCUUUAUUAAUCAAAAACACAUUUGUUGUUUGUUCCCUUGAACUUGUAAUUCAUGGCCCAUAAAGCAAAAGCAAAAUAUUUCCUCACUGCGGAUGAAUGUAAAAGCUAAUUACAUAUCCGUGCAUUUCUGUCAGUUUCUCCCCCAUCCCCCAAGAGAAUGGGAAAGAGGCUAGAGGUGAAAGUUUACAUUUAAAUUCAGGGGUGAAGCAGAAUACUGUAUCAAUCAGAUUUUCUUAGGCAGGGCAUCCAGAAUAAGAGAUUGAAUAAAUUCAAAUCCCACCUUUGAUGAGGGAUUGUUUGUGUGUUCCUGGAAGCAUAUUUUACCUCUCUAGACCUUUAUUUCCUAGUUGAUAAAUGGAGAAAAUACCUGCUUUACAAAGUUGUUAUGAUGAUAGAACGUGUGAAACUAUGUUAGGAGAUUAGUAGAGUGCCUAAGCUCUACUCUUAGGUAGAGCUUCCUAAUGUAACUUAGCGUUUCCUAAUUUAACCAUUGUCGCUAUUCAAAAACAUUAGUACCCUUCUCCUGGUUUUCUAUUUGUUAUAUUAUUCUUGAUAGGCAUUAACUGGAGUUUCAUCCUGGGCUCAUUUGUUUGACCUACUUCAGCUUCCUACUGUCCCCUCACUGUCUCUCAUAGAUUGAAUUAUUCUAUGUGCCCAUGAAUACACCCCAAACCUUUACGUUUAACCAAAAUUCCUUUCUGGAUUCCAGGCCUGAAUUACGGCUACUAGCCAUCUAGUAUUGAUUAAUAAGCAUCAUAUUUGGAGACGGGAGAUUCAGUUUCACCAACAAGCUAUAGCUUGUUUCAACCAAUUGAAUAACAUACGAUUGUCAAUUUCAAUUUUACCUUUCUAUUUUAAACAUAAGCUGUUUGGAUCAGAAGAUGACAGAUGUUUCAGGUUUUGACAUCCUAAGACAUACUUCUCCAACCUACGCUUGUUAUGGUUUCAACUAUCCAAGACAACAUAGCGAAGAACUUCAGAGGUAGGAGCUUGACCUGAGUCAACGUGAGUCUGCAGCAUGCUCUUGCUAACCUCCUUCCCACAACACAGAACAAGUGUUCACCUGUCUGAGAGACCAAGUUUCCAGAAGAAGGAUUCAGUACCUUCAUACUUCUCUGUGUAAAUGGUUCUCAAACUUUUUGGUGUGAAGUCCCUCUAUACGCUCUUAAAAAUUGUUGAGGACUUCAAAAAACGUGUUUAUAUGGGUUAUAUCUAUCAAUAGACCAUAUUAGAAAUAAAAGCUGACCAAAAAAGUUUUAGAAUAUUUAUUAAUUAAUUUAAAAUAAUAAUAAACGCAAGGACUUGUCACCAUUUUUGUGAAAUGUGGCAUUGUUUUCCAUUUUUGCAAAUCUCCACUAUCUGGCUUAAUAUAAGACAGUUGGAUUCUCAUAGCUGCUUCAUCAUUCUAUUGUUUUGAUUGAAGUAUAUAAAGAAAAUCUGGCUUCAAACAGAUACAUAAUUGGGAAAUAGAGAAGUAUUUUAAUAGUCUUUUUAGAUAGUCUUCUGUGAUACUAUGUCAAAACUUGACAAAUAAUAGUUUUUUUAAACUUAAGUUGUAAUGGUGGAUCUAAAACAAUAGGAAUGAGCUUUUUGUACUCUGUUACUUAAAAUCUCUUUAUCUUAUACUUUAAAUGCAUCUUUUACAACCAUUCAUGCAUUUUAAUGUCCUGUAUCAUUUGUAUUGAUUACUAAGUUAGGCAGAUUUUCCGAAUGUUGAUAUAUUUCAUUAAAAAAACUCACAAUCAUUAAAAUCACCACCAGUCUCAUCCAAAGAGUCUUCAAAUAUUGAGAAGCUGUCACGGUCAUGGUGGCAAAUAAAGUUUUCCAAAAUUCUAAUUUUCUCUUGAAAGCUCAGAUAUUUCCAGUAGCAGCAAAUACUGUCAGUUGCUUUCACUGUAGCCACAAGUUCACUUCACUCAUAUUUCAAAAAAAUGAAAUGUCUUCCAAAUACCCAAGUCUGAUUAAUAGUAGUUUGUCAGUUGUUCUUUGAAGUAAAAAUGAUAUCCCAUGAUAAAAGUGGCCAGCUCAGCUCAGAACUCAGUCAUGUGAAAGCUCUUCUUCCAGUCAACCAUGUAGUUUCUUGUACAGCAAGCUGUGUACUUUUCAUUUCUUCACAGAAAAUAUUAGAAAGACGUGUUCUCAAGGGUUGACACAAUGAAAUUAAUCAUUUUUACUGCUUUAUCAAAGAUUUUCUUAAAUGAAAUUUGCUUUUUAUUUCCCUGUGAGUGCAUGGGGUAAAGAAUACAAAGACUGAUGGUACUUACUUACGGUACUUAUACAAAGUUUGAUGCCACUACCUGUUUCAUGCUAAGGUACUAGCAGCUUUAUUCACCAUUACUUUUGCACCAUCAGUGUAAAUGUCCACAAACUAAAAAAUGCAGAUGAUUUCUAGAAUUAUUAUAAAAAUAGUGUUGAUCUUACUAAUCCCUUGAAAGGGUCUUGGGGUCCCCAACGGUCUACAGACCGACCACACUUUGGAAAGAAUAGGGUUAUAUUAAGCAUACCAAAAGUAGCAGUACAAAUCUGAGGGUUUUACUUUAAGAAGAACAUCCACAAACUAUUGCACAUUGAGAAGAGAUCUAGCAGUGAGAAGAGGAAAGGCAAUAGUAAUCCUGUCAUAUGACUAUGACUAUAGGAAAUAGAAAUGCUUAGGAUGACAGGAG